UGAAGCUCAACGUGGAUCAGCUACGUUUCUGUCUCUCCGAGACACAUAUCUCGAUUUGUCCUUCGCAAGCCCGUGACAAUGCAGGAGCUGAGAGUGAAGUCACUUUCCAUGCAUGGCUUUGGAGUGGGUAGACAUUUUCAAACUUGGCUGACUUUUGGGAAAAAAAAGCCUAAGGCUGCCUCUAGGUCGGUCUGUCGUUAUCCUGAAGCCUGUCCCUCUGGUGAUUUUCAUUUUUCUUCAUUUGUAGAUUUAAAGGAAUCUGGGGAUCAGUUGCUGUCCAACACUUCCUGGCUAUUGACCACAUCGCAGAAGGGAGGAGUAACCACCUGCUCCUUGGUCCUGCAGCUCAAAGCAGCUUCUUGGAAGAUGAUGAAACUGGGGCACAAAAAACGUAAAGUAUUGUGUGCAGGGCCAGAGCUGGAAGGUGGAGGAGCUUGGAUUUGAACCCGAAGUCAACCUUCAGUCCUUACGCGAGCCACUGGACUGUGUAAGUAGAGUUUGCUCUUUCCUUCCAGACACUUGGCAGAGCAGGGAGCGGACCUGGUUUGGGUGAGAGGGGACGAGGAUGAGUCCGUGAACAGCAGAGGAUGGGGCAAAGGGUAAUGUGAGCAAUGUGGUAUUUGUCACCAGGGGCCGGGCAGAUUGUCUAGGCAUGAGUUCAUCUGCAGAAGCUGGACAGAGAGGCAGAAAUCAAGUGUUUGAAAAUGAGAAGUGCUUGAUUCUGGGAUGAGGCUUCACUCUCUAGCUUUUUUUUUUUUUUUUUUGGAAACAGUCUUGCUCUGUCCUCCAGGCUGGAGUGCACUGCCUUAGCCUCCCAAGUAGCUGGGAUUACAGGUGCCCGCCACCACACCUGGGUAAUUUUUGUAUUUUUAGUAGAGAUGGGGUUUCACCAUAUUGGUCGGGCUGGUCUCGAACUCCUGGCCUCAGGUGAUCUGCCCAUCUCGACCUCUCAAAUCUUGGGAUUACAGGCAUGAGCCACUGCACCUGGCCCCUUGUAGCAUUUUUAUCUCAAGCUCAUUGUGCUUCUGAGUUCACCUUGGCAGAGGAAGAGAGCACGAGGAAUCAAACACCAGCUCUGAAACACCUCCCCCUGGAAGUGACACAUGUCAGUUUUUGCUUACGAUUCAUUGACCAAAGCCAGUGAAAUGGCCAUGACUAACUUCAAGGGAGUGGGAGGCAAGGAGAAAUGGACGUGUGAGAGAAGACAGGAUCUAGACUGCCUCUAAAACUGCUGGGGAGAGAGUGGGGAAGGUUUACAUAGG
rnacentral:lncRNA from 1 species